GGGAUGAGAAUGAAGAGGAUGAUGUUGAGAACAUCAAGUUACCCAUUGUGGUGGAGGAGAUCAAUGAUUGACGUUCAUCAUGUGGAUGUUGAUCUUGCUAUUUUGGAGAUGAAUGUCAAAGUGAUCUUUCUCAUGUGAAGGCUACUUUUGCAUUUCUGUUAUGUUGGAACCUUUCAAGUCAAGAACUAUGAAUUGUCACUGCUAGCUUGGAGAUGAACCUCUCAUUUGUGUUAUGUUCAACUUGUCAAUUGACAUGGACUUGGAAUUGUCAUUGCAAGUUUGUAAUCGUGUCGUUCGAUGAUGAUAAGACCUUAUGUUUGUGGA